CCUACGGGAGGCAGCAGUCGGGAAUCUUGGGCAAUGGGCGAAAGCCUGACCCAGCAACACCGUGUGGGUGAUGAAGGCCUUCGGGUCGUAAAGCCCUGUUGAUAGGGACGAAGGGCGAAGGGUUAAUAGCCCCUAGCUUGACGGUACCUUUCGAGGAAGCCCCGGCUAACUACGUGCCAGCAGCCGCGGUAAUACGUAGGGGGCGAGCGUUGUCCGGAAUUAUUGGGCGUAAAGAGCGUGUAGGCGGUUCGGUAAGUCUGUCGUGAAAUCCUGGGGCUCAACCUCGGGCGUGCGAUGGAUACUGCCGGGCUAGAGGGUGGUAGAGGCGAGUGGAAUUCCCGGUGUAGCGGUGAAAUGCGCAGAUAUCGGGAGGAACACCAGUAGCGAAGGCGGCUCGCUGGGCCACACCUGACGCUGAGACGCGAAAGCUAGGGGAGCGAACAGGAUUAGAUACCCUGGUAGUCCUAGCCGUAAACGAUGGACACUAGGUGUGGGGGGAGUCGAAUCCCUCUGUGCCGCAGCUAACGCGUUAAGUGUCCCGCCUGGGGAGUACGGCCGCAAGGCUAAAACUCAAAAGAAUUGACGGGGGCCCGCACAAGCAGCGGAGCAUGUUCUUUAAUUCGAUGCAACGCGAAGAACCUUACCUGGACUUGACAUGGUGCUGCAAGCGCACGGAAACGUGUGACCUUCGAGGGUGCACCACAGAUGCUGCAUGGCUGUCGUCAGCUCGUGUCGUGAGAUGUUGGGUUAAGUCCCGCAACGAGCGCAACCCCCGUGGCGUGUUGCCAGCAUUUAGUUGGGGACUCACGCCAGACUGCCGGUGACAAACCGGAGGAGGGUGGGGAUGAUGUCAAGUCAUCAUGGCUCUUACGCCCAGGGCUAGAAACGUGCUACAAUGGCGCAUACAAAGGGCAGCAAGACCGCAAGUGGAGCGAAUCUCAUCAAAAUGCGUCUAAGUUCGGAUCGGUCUGCAACUCGACCCCGUGAAGGCGGAGUUGCUAGUAAUCGCCGAUCAGCAUGCCGCGGUGAAUACGUU
rnacentral:rRNA from 1 species